rnacentral:miRNA from 1 species
CAUCAUGCAUCAUAAUAUUAUAAGUAACAAGGUUAGGUUUCACACCUGCUUUUACCAUUAAAUCUAAUACACUUUUAGCUUUUUUCAUAUUUCCUUCCUUACACGAAACAUCAACCAAUAUACUA